GGCAUGUUGCCAGAGUGGUUAAUGGGUGAGACUUGAAUUCAGUUAUUUAGGUACUAAGAAUUAAGCCAUCUCAUGACUUCGGUCGCGUAGGUUCAAAUCCUGCACAUGUCG